UACGGAGGGUGCGAGCGUUGUCCGGGAUCAUUGGGCGUAAAGGGCGCGUAGGUGGCCCGGUCAGUUCGUGGUGAAAGCGCGGGGCUCAACCCUGCGUCGGCCAUGAAUACUGCCGCGGCUGGAGCACUGUAGAGGCAGGCGGAAUUCCGGGUGUAGCGGUGGAAUGCGUAGAGAUCCGGAAGAACACCGGUGGCGAAGGCGGCCUGCUGGGCAGUUGCUGACACUGAGGCGCGACAGCGUGGGGAGCAAACAGG
rnacentral:rRNA from 1 species